UACAGAGGGUGCAAGCGUUGUUCGGAAUUACUGGGCGUAAAGCGCGUGUAGGCGGCUUAUUAAGUCGGACGUGAAAUCCCUUGGCUCAACCGAGGAACUGCGUCCGAUACUACUAGGCUUGAGUGUCGGAGGGGGUGGCGGAAUUCCUGGUGUAGAGGUGAAAUUCGUAGAUAUCAGGAGGAACACCUGUGGCGAAGGCGGCCACCUGGAAGACAACUGACGCUGAGACGCGAAAGCGUGGGGAGCAAACAGG
rnacentral:rRNA from 1 species